ACUCCUACGGGAGGCAGCAGUGGGGAAUAUUGCACAAUGGGCGCAAGCCUGAUGCAGCCAUGCCGCGUGUAUGAAGAAGGCCUUCGGGUUGAUAAAUGUACUUUCAGCAGUGAGGAAGGCGGGUACGUUAAUAGCGUGCUCCGUUUGACGUUAGCUGCAGAAGAAGCACCGGCUAACUCCGUGCCAGCAGCCGCGGUAAUACGGAGGGUGCGAGCGUUAAUCGGAAUUACUGGGCGUAAAGCGCAUGCAGGUGGUUUGUUAAGUCAGAUGUGAAAGCCCGGGGCUUAACCUCGGAAUAGAAUUUGAACUGGCAGACUAGAGUACUGUAGA
rnacentral:rRNA from 1 species